rnacentral:rRNA from 1 species
UGGGGAAUUUUGGACAAUGGGGGAACCCCUGAUCAAGCCAUCCCGCGUUGCGGAUAAAGGCCUCCGGGUUGUAAAGCACUUUUGGCAGGAAAAAAACGUCUUGGGUUAAUACCCCGUGAAACUGACGGUACCGGCAGAAUAGGCACCGGCUAACUCCGUGCCAGCAGCCGCGGUAAGACGUAGGGUGCAAGCGUUAAUCGGAAUUACUGGGCGUAAAGCGUGCGCAGGCGGUUCGGAAAGAAAGAUGUGAAAUCCCAGAGCUCAACUUUGGAACUGCAUUUUUAACUACCGGGCUAGAGUGUGUCAGAGGGAGGUGGAAUUCCGCGUGUAGCAGUGAAAUGCGUAGAUAUGCGGAGGAACACCGAUGGCGAAGGCAGCCUCCUGGGAUAACACUGACGCUCAUGCACGAAAGCGUGGGGAGCAAACAGG